AGGUGGUCCUGGUUUGUAUAAAAAAGCAAAGCAAGCUGUGGAGAGCAAGCCAGUAAGCAGCAUCCUCCAUGGUCUCGGCUUCAGUUCCUGCCUCCGGGUUCCUGCCUUGACCUCCUUCUUGUAGACUGACCAGUAUAUUGUUGGCCUCUUGGAAUCAAAUGAGAUGAUUGUAGGAACAUGGGUCCCUAGCACCAAUAAUAUAAACCCAGAGACAGAUAUUGGGGUUCAAGAUGAAGAUCUGAGAAGCAAAGCAGCCAAGUCACCAGAGAAGUCUUACCUCUACUAAGGCUGGGGAGAUCCUGUUCUCAACGUGGCUGGAGACUGAUUGCCUAAGACUGAAUACCAUCUCUGAGACCCUACUCCUGUCUUAUAUACCUCUCUAGUGCUGGAUUAAAGGCAUGAGCUCUGUUUCUCUUUUA